UUAUAUGGUCAAGAAGAGAAGCGCAAACGGUGGAUGCCUUGGCAGUAAGAGGCGAAGAAGGACGUGGAAUCCUGCGAAAAGCUAUGGGGAGCUGGAAACGAGCGUUGAGCCAUAGAUGUCCGAAUGGGGGAACCCGGCUGCAGCGAUGCGGUCAUUUGCAUUUGAAUACAUAGGAUGCAAAGGCGAACUCGGGGAACUGAAACAUCUAAGUACCCGAAGGAAAAGAAAUCAAGAGAGAUUCUCCAAGUAGCGGCGAGCGAACGGGGAGGAGCCUGGCGUGAUUUAUUAUUGAACUGAGUAGAACAAUUUGGGAAAGUUGGCCGUAGAGGGUGAAAGCCCCGUAUACGAAGGUUUGAUGAGGAACUAGGCACGCGAACAAGUAGGCCGGGACACGUGAAAUCCUGGUUGAAGAUGGGUGGACCAUCAUCCAAGGCUAAAUACUACUUACUGACCGAUAGUGAACCAGUACCGUGAGGGAAAGGUGAAAAGAACCCCGGAGAGGGGAGUGAAAUAGAAUCUGAAACCGUUU
rnacentral:rRNA from 2 species